rnacentral:rRNA from 1 species
AGUCAACGCUGGCGGCGUGCCUCAGACAUGCAAGUCGAACGAUUAAGACUUCCUUCGGGAAGUGCAUAAAGUGGCGCACGGGUGAGUAACACGUAAGUAAUCUACCCUCGAGUGGGGAAUAACGUUCGGAAACGAACGCUAAUACCGCAUAAUGCAGCGGCAUCGUAAGAUGACAGUUGUUAAAGGAGUAAUUCGCUUGAGGAGGAGCUUGCGGCAGAUUAGCUAGUUGGUAAGGUAACGGCUUACCAAGGCUACGAUCUGUAUCCGGUCUAAGAGGACGGUCGGACACACUGACACUGAAUAACGGGUCAGACUCCUACGGGAGGCAGCAGUCGGGAAUUUUGGGCAAUGGGCGAAAGCCUGACCCAGCAACGCCGCGUGAAGGAUGAAGUAUUUCGGUAUGUAAACUUCGAAAGAAUGGGAAGAAUAAAUGACGGUACCAUUUAUAAGCUCCGGCUAACUACGUGCCAGCAGCCGCCGUAAUAC